rnacentral:ncRNA from 1 species
UGUUCUCAGGGCAGGGUGAAAUUCCCUACCGGCGGUAUGCGGCGCGAGCCGCGAGCCCGCGAGCGCCUUCCGCGAGGAAGGGUCAAGCAGAUCAGGUGCGAGGCCUGAGCCGACGGUCAUAGUCCGGAUGAAAGAGAACG